rnacentral:rRNA from 1 species
GUAAUGUUGAAAAAUUAUCGGAUGACGUGUGGCUAGGAGUGAAAGGCUAAUCAAGCCCGGAGAUAGCUGGUUCUCCCCGAAAGCUAUUUAGGUAGCGCCUCGUGAAUGAUUACUGGGGGUAGAGCACUGUUUCGGCUAGGGGGCUGUCAUGGCUUACCAAACCGAUGCAAACUCCGAAUACCGGCUAAUUGAAUCACGGGAGACACACGGCGGGUGCUAACGUCCGUCGUGGAGAGGGAAACAACCCAGACCGCCAGCUAAGGUCCCCAAGUACUAGUUAAGUGGGAAACGAUGUGGGAAGGCAUAGACAGCCAGGAGGUUGGCUUAGAAGCAGCCACCCUUUAAAGAAAGCGUAAUAGCUCACUGGUCGAGUCGGCCUGCGCGGAAGAUGUAACGGGGCUAAAACUAGUCACCGAAGCUGCGGAUGUGCGCGAAGGCGCACGUGGUAGGGGAGCGUUCUGUAAGCUGAUGAAGGUGCAUUGAGAAGUGUGCUGGAGGUAUCAGAAGUGCGAAUGCUGACAUGAGUAACGAUAAUGUGGGUGAAAAGCCCACACGCCGGAAGUCCCAGGUUUCCUGCACGACGUUAAUCGGAGCAGGGUGAGUCGGCCCCUAAGGCGAGGCUGAAGAGCGUAGUCGAUGGGAACCAGGUUAAUAUUCCUGGACUUUUUAUAAGUGGUGAAGUGGGGACGAAGAAGGCUAGGUGAGCCAGGCGUUGGUUGUCCUGGUACUUG